UGCAGAUGGCGCGGGAUGAUUCGCGUCUUCUUGUUGUCGCGGGCCGCGUUGCCCGCCAGCUCCAGGAUCUCGGCCGUUAGGUACUCCAGCACCGCCGCCAUGUAUACCGGCGCGCCGGCGCCCACACGCUCCGCGUAGUUGCCCUUGCGCAGCAGCCGGUGCACACGCCCCACCGGGAACUGCAGCCCGGCCCGGGACGACCGCGACUUGGCCUUGGCGCGGGCCUUGCCUCCUUGUUUGCCACGGCCAGACAUGGCGGAAUAGGCAAUUUCUGCUGCUUUUUCCAAGGGAAGGCUAUGGAAAGGGCUUGUUGUCGAUGACCAUUCACAUCUCCGAAUGUCAUCUCCACAGCAAGGCUUUUCAGGACCACAGCUUCCCAGCAUUCCUUGCCACUGUGGAUUAGCAAAUCUCCAGCCCGGGACCAAAUGAUUGAGCCUUUCUAUGGUCUUUGGAUCCAUGAGUGCCUCCCUCCAGGAUGUCUUGCCUUCACUCACGUUCUUCAGACCUACAAAUUUCACAAAGGCUUCUCAUGUCCCUCUUCUGUGUCAAAUACACUCCUCACACACUAGCCAGAGCUGUCGUUCAAGUGAUUUCAUACACACCACACAGAACAUGCACCUAUCUCGGCAAUUGUCUUUUUAUCUUCAAUAAUUCCUGACUAAAAGCCACCUCCAGUAUGCUCCCCAAGUACUAAAGCACAAAACAAUAAUAAAGAACAAAAAAGUCACA
rnacentral:lncRNA from 1 species